rnacentral:sRNA from 1 species
AAUUAAAAUAAGUUUGAUCAGUAUCAGCUUAGUGAUAUUUUUGAUACCAGUAUCAUCUGACAUGUCAUCUCUUAAUUUGUCGCAUUUGCUAAAAAGAAAU